UGGGGAAUAUUGGGCAAUGGGGGAAACCCUGACCCAGCAACGCCGCGUGAGGGAAGAAGGUUUUCGGAUUGUAAACCUCUGUCCUUGGUGAAGAGAAGAAGACGGUAGCCAAGGAGGAAGCCCCGGCUAACUACGUGCCAGCAGCCGCGGUAAUACGUAGGGGGCGAGCGUUGUCCGGAAUGAUUGGGCGUAAAGGGCGCGUAGGCGGCUUUACAAGUCUGGAGUGAAAGUCCUCUUUUCAAGGGAGGAAUUGCUUUGGAAACUGUAGAGCUUGAGUGCAGGAGAGGUUAUCGGAAUUCCCGGUGUAGCGGUGAAAUGCGUAGAGAUCGGGAGGAACACCAGUGGCGAAGGCGGGUAACUGGACUGCAACUGACGCUGAGGCGCGAAAGUGUGGGGAGCAAACAGG
rnacentral:rRNA from 2 species